UACGUAGGGUGCAAGCGUUGUCCGGAAUUAUUGGGCGUAAAGAGCUCGUAGGCGGUCUGUCACGUCGGCUGUGAAAACCCGAGGCUCAACCUCGGGCCUGCAGUCGAUACGGGCAAACUAGAGUACUGCAGGGGAGACUGGAAUUCCUGGUGUAGCGGUGAAAUGCGCAGAUAUCAGGAGGAACACCGGUGGCGAAGGCGGGUCUCUGGGCAGUAACUGACGCUGAGGGGCGAAAGCGUGGGGAGCGAACAGG
rnacentral:rRNA from 1 species